UGGGGUGCAGCUCAGUGGUGGAGCACGUGCUUAGAAUGUACAAGGUCCUGGUUCAAUUCCCAGCGUACCAA
rnacentral:tRNA from 1 species